rnacentral:rRNA from 1 species
UGAACGCUGGCGGCGUGCCUAACACAUGCAAGUCGAACGGAGCUGCUUUGAUGAAGUUUUCGGAUGGAUUUAAAACAGCUUAGUGGCGGACGGGUGAGUAACGCGUGGGUAACCUGCCUCACACUGGGGGAUAACAGUUAGAAAUAGCUGCUAAUACCGCAUAAGCGCACGGUUCCGCAUGGAACAGUGUGAAAAACUCCGGUGGUGUGAGAUGGACCCGCGUCUGAUUAGCCAGUUGGCGGGGUAACGGCCCACCAAAGCGACGAUCAGUAGCCGGCCUGAGAGGGUGAACGGCCACAUUGGGACUGAGACACGGCCCAAACUCCUACGGGAGGCAGCAGUGGGGAAUAUUGCACAAUGGGGGAAACCCUGAUGCAGCGACGCCGCGUGAGUGAAGAAGUAUUUCGGUAUGUAAAGCUCUAUCAGCAGGGAAGAAAGUGACGGUACCUGAAUAAGAAGCCCCGGGCUAACUACGUG